GUUUCUUUAGCUUAAAGUUUAAUAAAGUGUUAGUUUGAAGGGCUAGCGAUACUAUUAUGUAGGAGACG
rnacentral:tRNA from 1 species